rnacentral:sRNA from 1 species
UCCAAAAACUAAGCAUUUCGUGCAUUGGA